rnacentral:rRNA from 1 species
CAGUCGCCGCGGGAAUACGUAGGUGGCAAGCGUUGUCCGGAAUUACUGGGCGUAAAGGGCGCGUAGGCGGCCAUUCAAGUUAGAUGUGAAAGCCCGGAGCUCAACUCCGGAAUUGCCUUUAAGACUGCCGAGCUAGUAGGUGAGAGAGGUGAGUGGAAUUCCGAGUGUAGAGGUGAAAUUCGUAGAUAUUCGGAAGAACACCAGUGGCGAAGGCGGCUCACUGGCUCAUUCUAGACGCUGAGGUGCGAAAGCGUGGGGAGCAAACAGGAUUAGAUACCCCUGUAGUCCCUGUCUCUUAUAC